AUUCCCGGUCCAUUGGGUGUAGAAGGAGCUGCCGGGAGCCGUUGGUGGGCACAGAUGUCCCUCUGUGCGGGAGCCUCUGCGAAGCCACGUGGAAGGCGCGUGUCCUGUGCUCCCGGGCCUGGCUGGUUUCCAGAGCGGUGCUGCCAGUUUAGAUUCUGGCCGAGUGCCUGCAAUGUCAGAGGGGUGGACGGGUUGUCUGGGGGAGGCCGAGGUGGGUGGAUCAUGAGGUCAGGAGAUCGAGACCAUCCUGGCUAA
rnacentral:lncRNA from 1 species